rnacentral:rRNA from 1 species
GGCGUAAGCGCGCGCAGGCGGCCUUUUAAGUCUGAUGUGAAAGCCCACGGCUCAACCGUGGAGGGUCAUUGGAAACUGGAAGGCUUGAGUGCAGAAGAGAAGAGCGGAAUUCCACGUGUAGCGGUGAAAUGCGUAGAGAUGUGGAGGAACACCAGUGGCGAAGGCGGCUCUUUGGUCUGUAACUGACGCUGAGGCGCGAAAGCGUGGGGAGCGAACAGGAUUAGAUACCCUGGUAGUCCACGCCGUAAACGAUGAGUGCUAAGUGUUGGGGGGUUUCCGCCCCUCAGUGCUGCAGCUAACGCAUUAAGCACUCCGCCUGGGGAGUACGGCCGCAAGGCUGAAACUCAAAGGAAUUGACGGGGGCCCGCACAAGCGGUGGAGCAUGUGGUUUAAUUCGAAGCAACGCGAAGAACCUUACCAGGUCUUGACAUCCCGCUGACCGGUCUGGAGACAGAUCUUCCCCUUCGGGGGCAGCGGUGACAGGUGGUGCAUGGUUGUCGUCAGCUCGUGUCGUGAGAUGUUGGGUUAAGUCCCGCAACGAGCGCAACCCUUGAUCUUAGUUGCCAGCAUUUAGUUGGGCACUCUAAGGUGACUGCCGGUGACAAACCGGAGGAAGGUGGGGAUGACGUCAAAUCAUCAUGCCCCUUAUGACCUGGGCUACACACGUGCUACAAUGGAUGGUACAAAGGGCUGCAAGACCGCGAGGUUUAGCCAAUCCCAUAAAACCAUUCUCAGUUCGGAUUGCAGGCUGCAACUCGCCUGCAUGAAGCUGGAAUCGCUAGUAAUCGCGGAU